UUCUUUUCUUUUCCCCUUUUUCCCCUAUAUUUUUUCUUCGUCUUUUUUCCUUUUUUCUUCUCUUAUUCAGUGUGGAUCAUGACAAGUCGUUGGCCCAUAAUCUGAAUAAAGAUCUUUAAUACCCAAUUCACAAUACGAGUAACUCACCAGAAUUUUUCCCUUCAUUAAAACUAUCAAUUCUUUGUCUUCUUUCAACUCAACUCUAUUUUGGUUGAGUCUUUCCCACUUCUUUUCCUCUGUGCUUUUCCAUCUGGAGUGACAUCACAUUAUGUAAAGUGUUUUCAUCAAAAUGAUCCUCAAGUUGGUGGUGAAAAUUUUUAUAAAUAGACGUUCCUUUAAAAACUAUGACAACAUAAGACACUAUCAUAGCUGACUGAUUAAUUACCAGUUUAUAAUGAAACGGUCCACCACAUGAUGAAGCCCAUCGGUAACAAUUUCAAUGUUGACGUUCCAGGUUACAUCACAUUAAAUGCCAUUGUUUACCAGAAAAGAUUUACUUCAACAAUUGCUUUUAAGCAUCUGAUACCACAAGAUACUCUGUAUAAAGAGUUGAUGAUAUCUCAACCAGAAUCAUAUAACUUUUCCCAGAAAAAUCAUUUCAUAGUUUUCUAGAUAAGAAAGUCAUUGAUAAGUCAAUUUACUGUCUUUCAGACUGCGUUUGAUACUUUAAUCGCCUAUGUUUCCCAUGGUGAUGCUGGAAACGAUAUAAACAAGAGUUAUUAUUAA